UGUAAAGAGCAAAUAAACCCCUUUGUGAUUCACUCCUUUCAGAACCUCCUGAUUUAAGUAUUUUGUUUUCAAGCUAUGUCUAUGAAUCGCCGACGUUGGAUACAAGUGAUGGUUUUUGUGAAGAAAGGGUCUAAGAAGAAGUUUAGUGAACAGAAGAAGACAGUAGCAGCUCUUGAGAUGGAAUUUAGUGCAGCAAGGGAAGAAGGCUUUGUUUCAAAAUCUCAAACAUACUAAUGGAAUUGAAGGUUUGGAGAUUGGAUAUCAAGACUAGAACCAAGUGUUCAAGCUUCUAAGAGGAAACUCACGAGGAUGAAAGCCAUGUGUGAACAAGUCUACUGGAGGUAUUACAUAGCUUUCCUACUUUCUUGAUAAGUAAAAGCG